rnacentral:rRNA from 1 species
ACCAGCUUGAAACUCAAAGGACUUGACAGUAUCUCAUACACCCCUAGAGGAGCCUGUCCUAUAAUCGAUAACCCACGAUAUACCUCACCCGUCCUAGCACAACUCAGCCUAUAUACCUCCGUCGCCAGUCCGCCUGUUAACAGACACCAAAGCGCAUAUAAUAGUCAACCACUAACACGACAGGUCAAGGUGUAGCUAAUAGACUGGACAGAGAUGGGCUACAUUUUCUAUAUUAAAAAAUACCCACAUACUAUGCAAACUGUACAAAAGGUGGAUUUAGCAGUAA